UACGGGGGGAGCAAGCGUUGUUCGGAUUUACUGGGCGUAAAGGGCGCGUAGGCGGCCACCGCAAGUCAGAUGUGAAAGCCCUGGGCUUAACCCAGGAAGUGCAUUUGAAACUCACGAACUUGAGUCCCGGAGAGGAAGGCGGAAUUCUCGGUGUAGAGGUGAAAUUCGUAGAUAUCGAGAGGAACAUCGGUGGCGAAGGCGGCCUUCUGGACGGUGACUGACGCUGAGAUGCGAAAGCGUGGGGAGCAAACAGG
rnacentral:rRNA from 1 species